UGCAUUGGACUGGGGUAUUAUUCGCGCAUGCGCGCAAAUGUCCGUCGUAUCCGCAGGCACGUGCCACGCCCCGCUGUACCUACUAGCAAUAGGAAUACGCGCCCAGGCUCUACUACGUACGGUCGCUACUGCUCCCACAGAAACAUCUGUGAUGUUAUUUACAAGGUACAUCGCCGUACUGCGCGAGAAAGCUUUGAUCCGCCACGACGGACUUAGCACGAGCGCCGCAGGUGCGAGACAGUCUGUCCGACACAGCGGUCGCCAAAUCGGGCGUCAAUGCCUGCUGCUUCACCUAUUUUACCGCGCCGACAGCCAGCGUACGUCCGAGCGUAAACAAACUCGACCCUACUCUGCAAUGGCGGCAUGCCUAGGGACCCUUCCUCCGUGCUAGGGACAAACGUAAAAGCGCCCAGAUUUUCUCUCUCGCGCCCACUCUUGCUCGCGCCUGCGCACAAACGACUGGCGAUCCCUCAAAUGAACGUCUCGUCCUCGUUUCGGCAUUAACGCAGUGUGAUUCAGUGAUGUGACUUUUCGACUUUUGUUCGGUUGGCCUUGGCCCAAGUACGUAUAUAACGAGCAAAACUGUACAAUUGCCUACUGAAUUUUAGAGCUGUGCUUCUGGCUGCUAUUUGUGGUACGUUUGUACGCCUUGCGGAGCGCUUAUAGAAAUGACCUGAGGGCAACGUUAUGGUGUACUCGCGGAAAACGUUCUGUGGCUGUGAAGGUAAAGCUACGGAGGCAGAGCGCUGACAAGUUAGAGCGCUUAUGAAGAGAGUUCCGCGUUUUCAUCAACGUUUGUUUAAGCUGGGGAAGUGAAAACAUAAACACCUUAUUAGCAACAGCUUGGUUUCUAGCGUUCAUCUUCAAGUGUCGGAUAUAUUUCUCAUUUGCAAUGCUUAUCUCUAAGUCUCAGGCCAGUGGCGUACCAACUAAUUCUCGAGUUGUCGCGAGGUUUUCGGAUUGGGAAGUGAUAUUUGCAGUCGUGGAAUCCUGAGGUUGCUCUGCCACCGCUACCCCGUUGACAAGGACGCUACGCCACCAACGGAAGCUGUCCUGAGGGAUCAGUCUGGGGCUGAUGCGGGCCGCUCCCACGUCGGUACAGAGAGGCCGAGCCCCUCUGCCGUCACACGGGCCCUCUGGACAGCCCUGAGUUGAUCCGCCAGCACUUCACUGUGCAGCAUCCGCUGCCACCACUGUUCACCUCCAGAACCAUCACCGGCCAAUGCCAAGCAGCGCCCCAGCAUGUGUUCUAAAUUGAGCAAACCCCCACACUUACUACAAUAGACUGAAACCCCUCAGUUCGGAUUAAUUUUAUUCAUGAUGACCGGGGUAGGGUACGUUCGUGUCUGCAGAAGCCUUAAUGUAACCGCCUGCGGCCUAUUUAAUUUAGGAUGUGGCGUAGUGGUAAAGCAGCAUCUAGUCCAGUGAUGUAACAAAUAUCAUCAGGAAUGGCUCAUACCCACGUAGUAAGCAAGCAGAGAUUCAGUCACUGAAUAUGAAUGAAAAAAGAAUGAAGGAAAGAAGGUACAGAAGACCGAAUGCAUGAGAGAAUGAAAGAACCUUUAGCUAGUGAUUAAAUGCCUGCAUGUGUUGUUGAGGAGGUCGACCUACAGCGCCAUGCGUUUACUUCACACUGCAGCUAGUUAUGUCUUGCAAGAAGUUUGACCCCUCCGAUCAUAUAACUUAAUGCAUUAUCACGUGGGUAGCAGGCUUUCACCUUCAUGCUACAGGAGUGCAACAUGCUGCCGAACUUGUGUGUCUAGGGCACAUAAAUACCUCACUAGGUUUUUCUUUCCUUUUAUAUAACUUCUGAUAUCUUUUCAGCAACUACUUCUUUUGCGUUUUUGGAACGUUAGUCAUACAGCAGCCUGUCAUUCUUGGAAAGCUUGUUUGCCGCCAGGCUCUAAAAGUAUCGAGUGGCUAUUUGUGCAGUUCUUUUCAUGACGAUUGUAGUGAUCUCGUGUUUAAAACUAUUCUAAUUGUCCGCGAUAGUUGACUGUCCAUUAAGUAUAAGGGUGUUCAUAAUUAUACUGAAAUAAAUAUUCCUGCUGUAAA